rnacentral:rRNA from 1 species
UGGCUCAGAACGAACGCUGGCGGCGUGCCUAACACAUGCAAGUCGAACGAGAAAGUCCGCAAGGAUGAGUACAGUGGCGACCGGGUGAGUAACACGUGACUAACCUACCUCUUAGUGGGGAAUAACUCCGGGAAACCGGGGCUAAUACCGCAUAACAUCGCAAGAUCAAAGCAGCAAUGCGCUUGGAGAGGGGGUCGCGGCUGAUUAGCUAGUUGGCGGGGUAACGGCCCACCAAGGCGAGGAUAAGUAUCCGGCCUGAGAGGGCGCACGGACACACUGGAAUUAUCUCACGGUCCAUGAUCCUACGGGAGGCAG